AAACUCAAAUGAAUUGACGGGGAGCACCACAACGGGUGGAGCUUGCGGUUUAUUGGAUUCAACGCCGGAAAUCUUACCGGGACCGACAGCAAUAUGAAGGCCAGGCUGAAGACUUUGCCGGAUUAGCUGAGAGGUGGUGCAUGGCCGUCGUCAGUUCGUACUGUGAAGCAUCCUGUUAAGUCAGGCAACGAGCGAGACCCACGCCCACAGUUGCCAGCGUACUCUCUGGAGUGACGGGUACACUGUGGGGACCGCCGCUGCUAAAGCGGAGGAAGGAAUGGGCAACGGUAGGUCAGUAUGCCCCGAAUAUCCCGGGCUACACGCGAGCUACAAUGGUUGGUACAAUGGGUAUCUACCCCGAAAGGGGACGGGAAUCUCCUAAAACCAAUCUUAGUUCGGAUUGAGGGCUGCAACUCGCCCUCAUGAAGCUGGAAUCCGUAGUAAUCGCGUUUCAACAGAACGCGGUGAAUACGUCCCUGCUCCUU
rnacentral:rRNA from 1 species